rnacentral:rRNA from 1 species
UACAGAGGUCUCAAGCGUUGUUCGGAUUCAUUGGGCGUAAAGGGUGCGUAGGCGGCGCGGUAAGUCGGGUGUGAAAUCUUGGAGCUUAACUCCGAAACUGCAUUCGAUACUGCCGUGCUUUGAGGACUGGAGAGGAGACUGGAAUUUACGGUGUAGCGGUGAAAUGCGUAGAUAUCGUAAGGAAGACCAGUGGCGAAGGCGGGUCUCUGGACAGUUCCUGACGCUGAGGCACGAAGGUCAGGGGAGCAAAACGGGG